AGAGCAGGCUACGGUGUGAAUAAGUGGAGACAGUCAGUUGCGUGAGCCAAUCAGAUCUCGAGUCUUUGACACCUAUGCCAGUUAAGAGUCCUCACGCUGCAACGGACAUGUAAGCAUCCUGUGAUUGGAUGAGAUCACGCGAGAGCUUGAAAGACGGCAAUGGCUAAACUAAACCAGAAAACUUAAAAAGAAAAACACAAAACCGGGAAACCUGUUAGCUACUAACACUUAUGGCUUUAUUUGUAAACCACGAGGUCUGAACCAGGAGGCGCUGUGUUUAAGACGGAGCCUUCGUGGAGACCUGGUUCUUUCAAGAAGAGCCUCUCAAUGACAGUUUCUCUGCAUACCAUUAACAACAAGGUGAAUCAAUUCCAAGGAAGAUACCCUUCACCAUUUACUAAAAUCUCUGGGACAUGUUUGGAGUUCAGCGGCUGACAUCUGAAAGCGCAGACUCUAAGGAACGUACAUAUGAACUCUUCCUGGACUAUGCUUCCCAUCAUGCCCUGCACCCAGAAUCCCUAAACUUUUAUGAUACUUGAUCCUUGUUUCUGACUUUUAAGUUGAGUAUAUUCACUGUUUGAUUUUUCCUUUGCCUUGGGAUUUUAUUGUAUUUUAUUUGUAUUAUUCUUUUUGUAUUAUUCUAUUUAUUUGCUGUCUCAAAUGUGGAACUUCUGUUUAUUUAGCAGUUUUACUUAGUUUUAGUGAUUUCUAGGUAAUAAUUGUCAGUGUUUGUCAAGUGUUUCCCGGUGUUUUCCUUUGUUUGGAAUUAAACAAGCUGUAGUUACCUAAUAUGUUGUUUAAGCACUGCUGUUGGUUCCAGUCUUUAAAUUUUAGAAACUGACAACAAGAAGCUUCUCUCAAGGACACCAGAGUGGUGCUGCCAGUCACAUGCUGUUUGCUAUUCUUUACUGUAUGCUGCGAAUGCUCCAUUUUACAGUGUUAUAAAUUCAAGAUAUGCACUAAACAAUUUUUUUAAUGGAUGUACAGUACUUAUGAAAUGACUAUUUCACACCAAAAAUGUUAAUGUGCUACUAAAACUCUAAUACUGCUCUUGUACAGUCAGCUUUGCAUGUACUAGUGGCACUUUGGCACUUCACAUUGACUUUUUGCACAUUAAUAAAUGCAUUUUUAAUGAAGAUGGUGUUCA
rnacentral:lncRNA from 1 species